CUAGCCUACCUCUUCUUAUCUCCUUUAAUCUUUUCCUGUCCAUUUCUUACUCCUAUUUCCAGAAGAACUCUUUUAUUCUUUUCAUGUUGGUUCUGGAUUCCAACAUGGACUCAUUAUGUUGCCCUGGUUAUCCUGGAACUCACUUUGUAGAGCAGGGUGGCCUUAUACUCACAGAGAUCUGGCUGCCUCUGCCUCCUGAGUUUGGGAUUAAAGAUGGGUGCCACCACACCUGGCACUCACUUGAGGUUCAUAUCAGUGGACAAAAUUACCUGCCUUACCUUAUCACCAACGCAAACUGACUUGCUCACAGACUGAAGUUAUGGCUGUAGAGUUUUACACGUACUUCUUAAGUCCAAAUGCAUUGGAUAUACCCAUAGUUCAAGAUGAGCCAGGAAGAAAAAUAUGCAACUCUGAUACACUGGCAACAGAUAUGUUUAUUUCAUGUAGAGUAAAAUAAAUACAUGAACAAAUGAGCAAAUAUUUACCCCCAUCUCCAGUGAACUUUAUAAAGGACAAGAGCCAAGCCCUUAUUCAAAGGAUGGGCAUAACAGUUACAAAGCAAAUAUGUGAUGACCUCUUUGCAUUGAACGUUCUCAACGAUCAAGAAGUUGCCAUCAUUCACCAUGAGCCUGUGGAGCAGGAAGCUGCACGGAAGAUCGUCCAUAUGAUUUUGAAGAAGGGCUCAGUGGCCUGCAACCUCUUUCUUAAGAGUCUUGAAAACUGGGACUAUUUUGUGUAUCAGGACUUAACUGGACAAAAUCUUUUUUAUCAGAUCGCUCAAGAAGACUUGAAUGUUUUGGCCCAGAAUUUAAAGGACUUAUAUGACAGCCCCGCUUUUCUGAACUUCUAUCCCCUGGGUGGAGAUAUUGACAUCAUUUUUAAUCUGAGGAGAACCUUCACAGAACCUGUCUUGUGGAAGAAGGACCAUCGUCAUCACCGCGUGGAGCAGCUGACUUUGGGCAGCCUGCUGGAGGCUCUUAAGAGCCCCUGCCUCAUUGAAGGGGAGUCUGGUAAAGGGAAGUCUACCCUGCUGCAGAGAAUCGCCAUGCUCUGGGCCUCUGGGGAGUGCAGGGCUCUGAAGGGCUUCAAAUUGGUCUUCUUCAUCCGCCUGAGCAGUGCCAGGGGUGGACUGUUUGAAACGCUGUGUGAUCAGCUCCUGAACAUACCUGACUCCAUCAGCAAGCCAACCUUCAUGGCUCUGCUGCUGAAACUACACAAGGAGGUCCUCUUUCUUCUCGAUGGUUACAAUGAAUUCCAUCCCCAGAACUGCCCAGAAAUAGAGGCCCUGAUAAAGGAAAACCAUCGUUUCAAGAACAUGGUCAUUGUCACCACCACCACAGAGUGCCUGAGACAUAUCAGACACGUUGGCGCCCUGACUGCAGAGGUGGGAGAUAUGACCAAAGACAAUGCCCAACGUCUCAUCGGGGAAGUGCUUAUACAUGAGCUGGCUGAACGUCUGUGGUGCCAGAUCCAGGAGUCCAGAUGCUUAAGAAAUCUGAUAAAGACCCCUCUCUUUGUGGUGAUCACCUGUGCAAUCCAGAUGGGCAGAAAGGAAUUCCAAGCUCACACACAAACCAUGCUGUUCCGAACCCUCUACGACCUCCUGAUACAGAAAAACAGGCACAGACACAGAGGUGGAACUUCGAGGGAUUUUGUCAGAAGCCUAGAUUACUGUGGAGACCUGGCCCUGGAAGGUGUGUUCUCCCACAAGUUUGAUUUUGACCCCGAGGAUGUGUCCAGCAUGAAUGAGGAUGUCCUGGUGACAACUGGACUGCUCUGUAAGUACACGGCUCAGAGGCUGAAGCCCAAGUAUAAAUUCUUUCAUAAGUCAUUUCAGGAGUACACAGCAGGUCGGAGACUCAGCAGUUUGCUGAUAUCCAGAGAGCCAGAGGAGGUGAGCAAGGGGAACAGCUACUUAAAGAAAAUGGUUUCCAUCUCUGACAUCACAUCCCUGUAUGGCAAUCUGCUCUUGUAUACGUGUGGGUCAUCCACAGAAGCAACCAGGGCUGUCAUGAGGCACCUUGCAAUGGUAUAUCAGCAUGGCAGCCUACAAGGACUUUCUGUCACCAAGAGGCCUCUCUGGAGGCAGGAAUCAAUACAAAGCCUGAGAAAUACCACUGAGCAAGAUGUUCUGAAAGCCAUCAAUAUAAAUUCCUUUGUAGAGUGUGGCAUCAAUUUAUUCUCGGAGAGUAUAUCUCAAUCAGCUCUGAGCGAAGAAUUUGAAGCUUUCUUUCAAGGUAAAAGUUUAUACAUCAACUCGGAAAACAUCCCCGAUUACUUAUUUGACUUCUUUAAAUACUUGCCUAAUUGUGCAAGUGCAUUGGACUUCGUGAAGCUGGAUUUCUAUGGGAGCACUACAGUGUCUCAGGACAAGGAGGGAGAGAAUGGCCCUGGAAUUCACAUGGAAGGGCCCUCAGAAACCUACAUUCCCCACAGGGCUGUGUCUUUGUUCUUCAACUGGAAGCAGGAAUUCAAGAGUCUAGAGGUUACACUCCGAGAUAUUAGCAAAUUGAAUAAACAAGAUAUCAAAUAUCUGGGGAAGAUAUUCAGCUCUGCCACCAACCUCCAGCUGUAUGUCAAGAGAUGUGCAGCCGUGGCUGGAAAGCUCAGCUCUGUCCUUAGAGCCUGCAAGCACAUCCAUUCCCUCAUGGUGGAAGCUAGUCCCCUCACCACGGAUGACGAGCAGCACAUUACAUCUGUGACAAACCUCCAGAACUUAAGCAUUCACCGCCUGCACACUCAACGGCUGCCAGGUGGUCUGGUUGACAGCUUGGGUAAUCUGAAGAAUCUUGUGAAACUCACACUGGAUGACAUUAGGAUGAACGAGGAAGAUGCUAAAAGCCUAGCACAAGGCCUGCGAAACCUGAAGAAGAUGCGUUUAUUCCAUUUGACUCAUUUGUCUGACAUUGGGGAGGGAGUGGAUUACAUAGUCAAGUCUCUCUCAGAAGAACCCUGUGAUCUACAAGAGAUGAAGUUGGUGGCCUGCUGUAUGACUGCAAAUUCUGUGAAAAUUCUAGCACAGAAUCUUCACAAUUUGGUCAAGCUGAGUAUUCUCGAUAUAUCAGAAAAUUACCUGGAAAAGGACGGAAAUGAGGCUUUAGAGGAACUGAUCGGCAGGCUUGGCGUCCUGGAACAGCUCACCACGUUGAUGCUGCCUUGGUGCUGGGAUGUGUGCAUCAGCCUACCCAAACUCUUGAAGCAAUUGGAGGAGGCCCCAGGGCUUGCCAGACUUGGAUUGAAAAACUGGAGACUCAGAGAUGAAGAGAUUAGAAGUUUAGUUUAUCACUUAGGGCCUACUUCAGUCUGCCACAGCGGGGAAAAUCACCGGCAGGAGCUUGAGGAAGCUACUCAGUCACGCUACACCCACCAUCCAGGACAGAGAACAAUUGAGUAUAUGCAGGCUGUUCAGCUUCCUGUCUCCAGUCAGGGAAUGAUGGCACCAAUGGUGGACGGGCCCCACCACCUCCGUUAAAGCAAUCAAGAUAACCAGUCCCCCACAGCAUUGCCAAGUGAAUCUAGACUUGGUCACGUCAAGAAUUAACACUAGGUGACCUGACUGGCUCAGGUGAACUGAAGGGCAGUAUUAGACAAGUUUACCCCAAAGCGCGUGAGAUUGUACCAGUUGUAUUCUCCACAGCCCACAGACGGCCAAGCUCCAAAUACACAGAUUCUAACCCUGUUGGAUCUAGUUUGAUCCACAUUCAACCAGCAGAAGGCAUGUCCUUGGACCAUGCAAACUGUUGUUUGUAUUUCCGGUCCGUACCUGCACCAGUUCUGACAAUCACCCAGGACACUCUGCUAAGGUCCUCCACCUGAACCGGACAGCCACAGAAACAGCUCCGCUCUCAUCGCAGAGCAGGCUUUGACGUUUCUAAAUUCUUACUGGGUCGUGAAAACAACUUGCUCUUUGGGAGAGAAAGCCCACAAAACUGGAAACAAAACAAAGCAACAAAACAUUUUGCAUUCCUGACGUGCAGAGUAUCACAGCAGAGGUGGCAAAAUAGGAAGGUGAAUUUUUGAAGACGUAUCCUCUGAGAGACUUGCAGCAGUUGGAUUUAUCGGGACACUGUGUGAGCAGUGAUGGCUGGCUUUCCUUCAUGGAUGUGUUUGAGAAUCUUAA